AGAGUUUGAUCCUGGCUCAGGAUGAACGUUGGCGGUGUGCCUAAUACAUGCAAGUUGAACGGGGCUAAUAGCAAUAUUGGCUUAGUGGCGAACGGGUGAGUAACGCGUUGGUGAUCUGCCUUGAAGUGUGGAAUAACGUUUCGAAAGGAACGCUAAUACCGCAUGUGCUCUCGAUUUUCAGAAAGUUGAGAGUAAAGGAUUUAUUCGCUUCAAGAGGAGCCUGCGUCCCAUCAGCUGGUUGGUAGGGUAACGGCCUACCAAGGCUAUGACGGGUAGAGGACCUGAGAGGGUGGCCCCCCACAAUGGAACUGAAACACGGUCCAUACACCUACGGGUGGCAGCAGUAGGGAAUAUUAGAAAUGGACGAAAGUCUGAUCUAGCAACACCGCGUGUGCGAAGAAGGCCUUCGGGUCGUAAAGCACUUUUUGGAAGGAAUAGGAAGGAAUGUACUUCCAGAAUAAGUCUCGGCUAACUACGUGCCAGCAGCCGCGGUAACACGUAGGAGGCGAACGUUAUCCGGAUUUACUGGGCGUAAAGCGCGUGUAGGUGGUUCUGUAAGUAGGGCGUGAAAGCUCCUGGCUCAACUGGGAGAGGCCGUUCUAAACUACAGAGCUAGAGGAUGGUAGAGGGAGGUGGAAUUCCAGGUGUAGCGGUGGAAUGCGCAGAUAUCUGGAGGAACACCAGUGGCGAAGGCGGCCUCCUGGACCAUUCCUGACACUCAGACGCGAAAGCUAGGGUAGCAAACGGGAUUAGAGACCCCGGUAGUCCUAGCCCUAAACGAUGUAGACUAGGCGUCGGAAGUUUAAUCACUUUCGGUGUCCAAGCUAACGCGAUAAGUCUACCGCCUGGGGACUACGGCCGCAAGGUUAAAACUCAAAGGAAUUGACGG
rnacentral:rRNA from 1 species